UCUUCCUCAAAAUAACGUUAAAACCUCAAAAGAUGGAUGAAAAAUGUGCUUUAGGAGCUGAACUAUAAUAAUUGAUACUUUUGGAAGCAAACAAAACGGUUUAAGAUAAGAUUUUCACCAACAAAAAAUCUCUCUGUCACAAUUUCUAGGUUAUGUUCUCUCGGUGAACUAAGAGAAUGUUAAAAUUGUCACAAAGCUUUCUAUCAGAAAUUUGUAGUCUUCUGCUAGCAGUCUUUAUCUAGCAAGUUUAGCAUUAUCAAUAUCAUUCGCAUCAUAGAUUUGCAAGAAUAUUGUUGGAAGGUAAGGCCUUGAAUGAGAAAAACAAAUUUCUAAAUAGAUCGUUUUCUAUUUGGAUUGGAAAUAUAAAUAUAUUUCAUUGGAUUUGUACAUUAUUUUACAAUAAACAUUCACUAAAGGUUUUUUUAAUAUAAAAACCAACAAAUUAUUGCUUACUAAACAAACUUAAAUAUAACAAAAUAUCACACAGUA